rnacentral:lncRNA from 12 species
GUGAACGCUGGAGAGUCAGCACGCUCCGACUUGGGUCCACGGCACUGACCCGGGUGCGCACAGGCCUGCCUCCGUCCAAGUGGUGAACGUGGGCCGUGUGGCGCCAAGACACAGACGCAGCAAGGGAGUGAACUCAGGCCAUAGGGGAUGAGAAACAAUGAGAACUGUGUUUGUCCACCAGAAGGAGCUCCUGGCCACACUAAUCCUGUGGAAGACAGAC